CCUAUACUCCUGGCCAUCCCCUCCAUUGAGCUCGAGCAGCUCUCCUCGACUCCCCUGGCCGCCGUGCCCGCCGUCAGCCUCGGCCUAAAUUGGCUCGAUACCGACCCUCCACCUCCUUUCUGUAGCCACCAGAGGAGUCCCCUCGACCCUCCUGACCCUCCCCACCUACUUGCCCCUCGCCGGAGUAUCCCGCAGCCCCGUAGCCCAACCUCACCCGAGGCCAUCUCCGCCGGAGUCCACGGCCUAGUCGCUCCGAUCCUCCUCGGCGUCCAUGUCCUUGCUGAAUGGAUCCGCCUCGUCUUGCUGAGCUCGUCGGUAGGUCGCGUGCCCCGUAUGGUGGCCGGGAUCACCGGCGAGCCUCGUCGGGGUGAGCUCCCCUACUCGGCCCGAUGCGUCAAGGCAGGAGGAAGAAGAAGGAGGCCAGGAGGAGAGAGAAGAUGCGGUGGGCCCCGCCUAUAAGUGACCCAGCCGCCGGGCCCGUGUUGACCCAGAUAGGUCCGUGGCAGAAAACACUCCAUAUCUUUUUAUCCGUAACUCCAAAUGAGCCCCUCCGAGAGAGAACUGUCUCUAGCAAAUCUUUCCG